GAGGAGAGAGAGGAUAAAGUGGGUCGAGAAUAGAGAGAGAAAGUUGGAUUGGCGCGCGGGAAGUAUUAGGAAAGGUCAGAUAGAGAGAGAAAGAGGAGAGAGAGAUGAAAGUAAAGCUUUGAUGUUAUAUCGGCAUUGCAAGAGAGAGAAAGAAGCGUGGUAAAUAGCGCAUUUCAGGUGAGCGAUAAGAGAGGGGAAGUGAAGGUCAUGGCAUAGGGAGAGGGGGAAGGAUUCCAGAGAGACAAGUGUGGUGUGGCGGUGGUGAUAAAUCUGGCAAACCUUGGGGGGCUUAGGGCACGGUCGUCGUGGAGGCAAGCAGUUGAAGAGGGGGGCGACGAGGAGGAUUGCAGGCCUUGGCGUCGAAGGCUCAGGCUCGUCACCACCAUGGCCUUCACCCCUAUUAAUGUCCUCCGCCUCCUCCUGCUCCUCCUCCUCUUAUGCACCAUCACUGUUGCCUGUCUUACCCUGCCCAUCGAAAAG
rnacentral:lncRNA from 1 species